UACGGAAGGCAGCAGUGGGGAAUAUUGGACAGUGGGCGAAAGCCUGAUCCAGCCAUGCCGCAUGAGUGAAGAAGGCCUUCGGGUUGUAAAGCUCUUUUAGUGAGAAAGAUAAUGACGGUACUCACAGAAGAAGUCCUGGCUAACUCCGUGCCAGCAGCCGCGGUAAUACGGAGAGGGCUAGCGUUAUUCGGAAUUAUUGGGCGUAAAGAGCGCGUAGGCUGAUUAGUAAGUUAAAAGUGAAAUCCCAAAGCUUAACUUUGGAAUUGCUUUUUAAAACUGCUAGUCUAGAGAUUUGAAAGAGGAUAGAGGAAUUCCUAGUGUAGAGGUGAAAUUCGUAAAUAUUAGGAGGAACACCAGUGGCGAAGGCGUCUAUCUGGUUCAAAUCUGACGCUGAGGCGCGAAGGGCGUGGGGAGCAAACAGGGAUUAGAUACC
rnacentral:rRNA from 1 species